UACGAAGGUGGCUAGCGUUGUUCGGAAUCACUGGGCUUAAAGAGCACGUAGGCGGCUUCGCAAGUGUCUUGUGAAAUCCCCCGGCUCAACCGGGGAGCUGCAAGGCAAACUGCGGGGCUUGAGGCAAGUAGAGGUAUGUGGAACUCUUGGUGGAGCGGUGAAAUGCGUAGAUAUCAAGAGGAACGCCGGAAGCGAAAGCGAUGUACUGGGCUUGUCCUGACGCUGAGGUGCGAAAGCUAGGGGAGCAAACGGG
rnacentral:rRNA from 1 species